AGAACAGAGAAAGGACAGGACAGGCUUUGCGGCUCAGAGGCACCAACCAGCUCUCGGGAAGCCCACAGGCUGUCAGAGCCCCCGCCUGUCUCAGCUUCUGAUCCAGCUCCCUGCUAACUCGCUGGAGAGACGGCGGGUCAAGGCCCAAGUCCCAAGUGCUCCCUGCCACACACAUGGGAGACCUGGGUGGGGUUCCUGGCCCCUGGCUUCAUCCUGACCCAGCCCCAGCUGUUACGGGCAUUUGGAGAGUAACCACUAGCUGGGCGAUAUCUCCCCCCGCCCCCACCCCCAUCAGCCUAUCUUUCAAAUGAAUAAAUAAAACUUUAAAACAAAGAAAUGGAGGAAGAGGAAAAGCCCCGCCCCACCUGGGAAUGGAACGGUGGCUGCGGCCCAGGACAGGAGGAGGGGGCCUGCCCUCCUGGGGUCUUGUCCGCUGCCGGAAGCAGGUUGAUGGGCCGGCGCGGGUGCCUGGGCAGAGGGCACUUACUGUGUACCAGAGCCCCGAGAGCCCCUCGGAGAGCUCAGCCCAAGUGACCCACCCGAGCUCACCCCAUCAGAAGGGACAGAGGUGGGAUUCGAACCCAGGUCUGGGUCAAAGUCUAUACUUUCCCAUGGAAAAAUAUACACCAGGAUGCCAGUUUGCUGACAAUUGGCAAAAUGUUGGCGUCCUGGGCUUAUUCCAAACACUGGGGGCCAGAAGCAGGAUUGGGCUUUGUGGAGCCCACUGUGGGCCUCCAGAAGCAAUGCCCCGCCCCCUCCUGCGCUCCCUGAGCUUGGUGGCUGGACCCAGAGGGAGGGAGCCCAGCGACCACCAGGGCCCCCGGCUCCAGCGUCCUGCCAAUUGUGCAGGCAGUGAGCUCCCCAUCACGGGAGGUAUUCACGCUGGGCUAAACCACCACCUGUCCGGGAUCCACAGUCAAACCUGACCUUUUAGAUGCCUUGCAAGAGUGGGUCAGUGAAUCCCUGCCUGUGCAGUCACACGGGCUGCUCUCCCCCGGGCCUUGCCGGGCUGGGAGAGAAGAGCAGGCACAGGGCGGCAAGGUGAGAGCGCCCGGCAUCCUGGCUCCCAGCCCUGCCCCUGUGCCGCUGGCGUUCACUGCGUGACCUUGAAUUAUUCUGGGAGCCUCGGCUUUCUCAGCUGAAGGACGCCGUGGUUAAUGAAGCGCUCUGCGGGCCGCAUCACGUGGCAGCACUCCAACUCCGUGACCCCGAGAAGGGAGUGGGGAAAACUCCCCCCACGCACACUCUUGCAGGCUCCCUGCGUUCCUCGUCCCACGCUGCCCCGACCUGCCCCAGGGCCACAGCGCCAGGGUCACAGCCCUGGAGGUUCCUGGCAUCUCCAUGCCUAUUCCCAGCCAUCCCCAAGCCCCAGCGCCGACACGGAGGGAGCAGGUGUCCCUGGGCCUGGAUGGCAAGGGGUCGGACGAUGGCAGAGAUACCCGCACCACCAUCACUCAGUCCACGACAUCCUAAGCUCCCUCCUCCCUCUCGGUGAAAGACCGAGAUGAUUAAACGGGAAAGGCACUGACCUGGGCUCUGCGCUCCUCAGGGCAAGAAGUCCAAGAGAUGGGGCAGCUCCCACCAGCUGGAAGGGUGCCGUCCGGAGCAGAGCUGGCAGAGCCGGUGGCAGGAGCGCAGGGGUCGGUGCACCCGCCUUCCCAGCCAGGUGUGCAGGCAGCCCAGUGCGUGACUCACUCACUUGCCAGACCUGCCAGGCAGGCGGGCAGAGGGCGGGAGGACAGGAGGCGGCCCGGCAAGCCCACAAGGAAGGGCUCCACUGAGUCAGGCCCGGCGGGGCUGGGCCAUCCAUCAGCCCGGCCUGCGAGGCCCAGGAAGUUGGCCGGGGUGAGGGAGGCGGGAGGAGCAUGGUGGAAGGUGGGGCCUCCCGGGGAGGUGCUCAGUGGCAGGAGGCGCUCCCAGUGCUGCCCAGAAAAUGGGCACGGGCAGAGCUGGAGGCUCCCUGGGGCCGGAGCCCUUUGAACUGGAGAGGUAGAUGGGCGCAUACGCGAAAUGACUCGGGUUAGAAUCCCUGCACAGGGCUAAGCCUCUGCCUGCAGCCUCCCAUAUGGGUGCUGGUUCAAGCCUCGGCUGCUCCACUUCUGAUCCGGCUCUUCUAUAGCUUGGGAAAGCAGUGGAAGUCCUUGGGCCCCUGCACCUGUGUGGGAGACCUGGAGGAAGGUCCUAGCUCCUGGCUUCGGAUCGGCGCACCUCCUGCCAUUGCGGCAAAUUAAAAAAAAAAAAGAAAGAAAGAAAAGAAAGAAAGGAAUCCCUGUGCUUGCGAGCAGUGCGGCCCUGCCUCGGGGAAGCCUCCCUUUCCUUCUUGCUGCGCUGCAGUAGUGACGACGGCCCCCGCCCCAUGGCCUCCUCACGGGAGGGGGACGAGCACUGCGCAGGGAGUGCCCCAGCAGAGGCUCCGGUGACGGCAGGACCUGCGCCCCCAGGAGCGCCCCCGUCCGCAUCCUUGCCGUCAAGGCUCCUGGUCCCCAGAUCGCAGCCAGCAUCUUCCGAGCCGAUUCCAACACGAGGAUCUGGACGGCAGGGAAAUGUCAGUUAACCCCAGACACUAACUCCGCCCGGCCCGGGACACGAUCAGAGGCGGACAGACCCCUGCCCUCAGCGAUGCCCAGGCGUGCCCUGCACACCAUACCCGGGCCCCACUUGCUGCCACGAAACCAGCCACGGAGCCUCAGCGCCCCAGCACAGGCGUCACCCAGCUGCGGCUCGCUGGCCACUCCGCCCAUCACGGGCUGCUAUAAAUAAAGUUUUCAGGAAGGAUCCUUGAGCCCCA
ensembl:lncRNA